AUAUCGCACGUGUCGUGUAGGUGAGAACCUGCGCUCAGGUUCGAGCCGAGCGAAGCGAGACAGCAACGCUUGCGUCGGCCCCGAAGGCUGGGCAUUCUGCAUGACCCGCUA
rnacentral:sRNA from 1 species